rnacentral:rRNA from 1 species
AACAAACGCUGGCGGCGUGCCUAAUACAUGCAAGUCGAACGGGGAAAGCUUUCGGGUGAGUACUAGUGGCGCACGGGUGAGUAACGCGUGGAUAAUCUGCCUUAGAGUGGGGGAUAACGAAUCGAAAGAUUCGCUAAUACCGCAUAAGACCACAAGAACUGCGGUUCAAGGGGUCAAAGGUUUUUCGCUCUAAGAUGAGUCCGCGUAAGAUUAGCUAGCUGGUGAGGUAAUGGCUCACCAAGGCAACGAUCUUUAACUGGUCUGAGAGGAUGAUCAGUCACACUGGAACUGAGACACGGUCCAGACUCCUACGGGAGGCAGCAGUAGGGAAUAUUGCACAAUGGAGGAAACUCUGAUGCAGCGACGCCGCGUGAGUGAUGAAGGCCUUCGGGUCGUAAAGUUCUGUCGCAGGGGAAUAACACAAUGAAUGUACCCUGUAAGAAAGGAUCGGCUAACUUCGUGCCAGCCGCCGCGGUAA